CAAUAGCGUAUAUUAAAGUUGUUGCAGUUAAAAAGCUCGUAGUUGGAUUUCUGGUCGGAAGCUCCUGUCCUCUGAUGAGCGUACAAGUGCGUCCUACCAUCCUUCUGUUAACCUUUAAGGCUUUCGCGGCUUUCUAGGGGCUCAGAUAUUUUACCUUGAGAAAAUUAGAGUGUUUCAGGCAGGCUAGCGCCGGAAUACAUUAGCAUGGAAUAAUGGAAUAGGACUUUUGCCUCUUCUGUUGGUCAUGAGGCUCGAGUAAUGAUUAAUAGGGAUAGUUGGGGGCAUUAGUAUUUAACUGUCAGAGGUGAAAUUCUCGGAUUUGUUAAAGACUAACUUAUGCGAAAGCAUUUGCCAAGGAUGUUUUCAUUAA
rnacentral:rRNA from 1 species